rfam:Myotis brandtii contig206677, whole genome shotgun sequence.
GGCAGCUCUCAGGUGACACACGCCAGAAUUGGGCUCCCUCCUCUCUGGUUCUGGGGCGCAUCACCCAAGAACCGCU